GACGAACGCUUGCGGCGUGCUUAACACAUGCAAGUCGAACGGAAAGGCCCUGCUUUUGUGGGGUGCUCGAGUGGCGAACGGGUGAGUAACACGUGAGUAACCUGCCCUUGACUUUGGGAUAACUUCAGGAAACUGGGGCUAAUACCGGAUAGGAGCUCCUGCUGCAUGGUGGGGGUUGAAAAGUUUCGGCGGUUGGGGAUGGACUCGCGGCUUAUCAGCUUGUUGGUGGGGUAGUGGCUUACCAAGGCUUUGACGGGUAGCCGGCCUGAGAGGGUGACCGGCCACAUUGGGACUGAGAUACGGCCCAGACUCCUACGGGAGGCAGCAGUGGGGAAUAUUGCACAAUGGGCGGAAGCCUGAUGCAGCAACGCCGCGUGCGGGAUGACGGCCUUCGGGUUGUAAACCGCUUUCGCCUGUGACGAAGCGUGAGUGACGGUAAUGGGUAAAGAAGCACCGGCUAACUACGUGCCAGCAGCCGCGGUGAUACGUAGGGUGCGAGCGUUGUCCGGAUUUAUUGGGCGUAAAGGGCUCGUAGGUGGUUGAUCGCGUCGGAAGUGUAAUCUUGGGGCUUAACCCUGAGCGUGCUUUCGAUACGGGUUGACUUGAGGAAGGUAGGGGAGAAUGGAAUUCCUGGUGGAGCGGUGGAAUGCGCAGAUAUCAGGAGGAACACCAGUGGCGAAGGCGGUUCUCUGGGCCUUUCCUGACGCUGAGGAGCGAAAGCGUGGGGAGCGAACAGGCUUAGAUACCCUGGUAGUCCACGCUGUAAACGGUGGGUACUAGGUGUGGGGUCCAUUCCACGGGUUCCGUGCCGUAGCUAACGCUUUAAGUACCCCGCCUGGGGAGUACGGCCGCAAGGCUAAAACUCAAAGGAAUUGACGGGGCCCCGCACAAGCGGCGGAGCAUGCGGAUUAAUUCGAUGCAACGCGUAGAACCUUACCUGGGUUUGACAUGGAUCGGGAGUGCUCAGAGAUGGGUGUGCCUCUUUUGGGGUCGGUUCACAGGUGGUGCAUGGCUGUCGUCAGCUCGUGUCGUGAGAUGUUGGGUUAAGUCCCGCAACGAGCGCAACCCUUGUUCACUGUUGCCAGCACGUUAUGGUGGGGACUCAGUGGAGACCGCCGGGGUCAACUCGGAGGAAGGUGGGGAUGACGUCAAGUCAUCAUGCCCCUUAUGUCCAGGGCUUCACGCAUGCUACAAUGGCUGGUACAGAGAGUGGCGAGCCUGUGAGGGUGAGCGAAUCUCGGAAAGCCGGUCUCAGUUCGGAUUGGGGUCUGCAACUCGACCUCAUGAAGUCGGAGUCGCUAGUAAUCGCAGAUCAGCAACGCUGCGGUGAAUACGUUCCCGGG
rnacentral:rRNA from 1 species